rnacentral:rRNA from 1 species
AUUGAACGCUGGCGGCGUGCCUAACACAUGCAAGUCGAGCGGUAACAGGUGUAGCAAUACAUGCUGACGAGCGGCGAACGGGUGAGUAAUGCUUCGGAAUCUACCCAAUGGUGGGGAAUAACCAGCCGAAAGGUUGGCUAAUACCGCAUACGUCCCACGGGAGAAAGCAGGGGAUCGCAAGACCUUGCGCCAAUGGAUGAGCCGAAGUCGGAUUAGCUAGUGGUAGGGUAACGGCCUACCAAGGCGACGAUCCGUAGCCGU